UACAGAGGGUGCGAGCGUUGUCCGGAAUUACUGGGCGUAAAGGGCGCGUAGGCGGCUUGGUAAGUCGGGGGUGAAAGUCAGCGGCUCAACCGCUGGACUGCCUUCGAGACUGCCUGGCUUGAGCAUGGUAGAGGCUGGCGGAAUUCCCGGUGUAGCGGUGGGAUGCGUAGAGAUCGGGAAGAACAUCGGUGGCGAAGGCGGCCAGCUGGGCCAUUGCUGACGCUGAGGCGCGACAGCGUGGGGAGCAAACAGG
rnacentral:rRNA from 1 species